GAUUUGGUGUCUGGCUUGGCAAGACUGAGGCUCUGCACACAGAUGUUUGGGAUCUAUGUGAGUACAACUUGAAAACUAUUUAAAAUAUCUAGGACAAAUAAAUUGUGUUCUCUCCUGAUUUUGAUAUUUGAUAGGAAAAGAAGAAAAAUAAAAGGAAAUAUGAAAUUCAAAAGUAAAAUCAAUUUCAAGGAAACACAACUUAGAAAUUGGAAAAUCUGUGUUCAGUAUCAUGGAGAUGGAUAAUCUUCUUCCAAAAGAUGGAGAAUUACUGAUUAAUAAGAAGAAAAAGAAUGAGCAAUGAGAAUGUAAUUCAAGAUGGUUAUAAUAGUCAAAGAAAACAGAGGAAUGGGACCUGGUAUCUCUGAUCCCAGUGAGAUGCUGUACUGAAGACCACAAGAUGUUUAUUUCCUACCGUAUUCCAACAGCACAAAAUCACCUUCCUGUAUUGGUUUUCCUAUCUGAUACUCAAUGGCAUUGACCCAGAGUAACAACCAGCGUGGUGUCCUGAGCUUGCUGUUGGUCUCAUCAUCAUGCCUCGUAAGAAAUCUGAUUCUGUCUUCAAGAAUAUGGACCUGUUUCAAAGUUCAAUUUAAGGGCCAAGGAUCUAUCUCAGCUGCACAAGCACCUGCCUGGCAAGCACAAGGUCCUGAGUUCGACUCCUGGUACAAAAGCAACAAAAACAAAAUACAAAAAAAUAAAGUUCAAUUUAAUCACUGAGUCUGCAACUUCCAAUUUUGAACUUCUAGUCUGAACAUCGGAAUUUCAAUUUUCAAGGCAUCUAAUUAGAUGAAAAACGCCUACUUCCUAAUGGAGGAUGGUACAGUACUUCACCAAUAUGGUCUUCACCAAUGGAUUUCGUUUUGUUUCUAGCUCCUAAUUUACUUGAUUUGCUCUUUAGCUCUGCUGUGAUUUGUACCU
rnacentral:lncRNA from 1 species